AGAGUUUGAUCAUGGCUCAGAAUGAACGCUGGCGGCGUGCUUAACACAUGCAAGUCGCACGAGAACUCUUCUGCUUGCAGAAGAUAGUAAAGUGGCGCACGGGUGAGUAACGCGUGGGUAAUCUGCCUUCAAAUCGGGGAUAACAUUGCGAAAGCGAUGCUAAUACCGGAUAAUGUCUACUAAACUUCGGUUUAUAAGAUUAAAGGUGGCCUCUAUAUAUAAGCUUCCGUUUGAAGAUGAGCCCGCGUACCAUUAGCCAGUUGGUAGGGUAACGGCCUACCAAAGCGACGAUGGUUAGCUGGUCUGAGAGGAUGAUCAGCCACACUGGAACUGACACACGGUCCAGACUCCUACGGGAGGCAGCAGUGAGGAAUUUUGCGCAAUGGGGGAAACCCUGACGCAGCAACGCCGCGUGAGUGAUGAAGGCUUUCGGGUCGUAAAACUCUGUCAAGUGGGAAGAACCUGCAUAAUUAAAAUAUGAUUGUGCACUGACGGUACCACUGAAGGAAGCACCGGCUAACUCCGUGCCAGCAGCCGCGGUAAUACGGGGGGUGCAAGCGUUAUUCGGAAUUAUUGGGCGUAAAGAGCGCGUAGGCGGUUUUUUAAGUCAGAUGUGAAAGCCCGGGGCUCAACCUCGGAAGUGCAUUUGAUACUGAAAAACUUGAGUAUGGGAGAGGGAAGUGGAAUUCCUGGUGUAGAGGUGAAAUUCGUAGAUAUCAGGAGGAACACCGGUGGCGAAGGCGACUUCCUGGACCAAUACUGACGCUGAGGCGCGAAGGCGUGGGGAGCAAACAGGAUUAGAUACUCCUGGUAGUCCACGCAGUAAACGUUGAACACUAUGUGUAGCGGGUAUUGACCCCUGCUGUGCCGCAGUUAACGCAUUAAGUGUUCCGCCUGGGAAGUACGGUCGCAAGAUUAAAACUCAAAGGAAUUGACGGGGGCCCGCACAAGCGGUGGAGCAUGUGGUUUAAUUCGACGCACGCGGA
rnacentral:rRNA from 1 species